CGUCGAGUGGCGGACGGGUGAGUAAUGCUUGGGAAUCUGCCCAGUAGCGGGGGACAACUCGGGGAAACUCGAGCUAAUACCGCAUACGCCCUACGGGGGAAAGCGGGGGAUCUUCGGACCUCGCACUAUUGGAUGAGCCCAAGUCGGAUUAGCUAGUUGGUGGGGUAAAGGCCUACCAAGGCGACGAUCCGUAGCUGGUCUGAGAGGACGAUCAGCCACACCGGAACUGAGACACGGUCCGG
rnacentral:rRNA from 1 species